rnacentral:tRNA from 1 species
ACACCGGUAGCCGAGCAAGACUACGAAUCUUGUAACCGUAAUUGGAGCUGAAAAUGUAGGUUCAAUCCCUAUCCGGUGUA